AUUGCAGUCCUCAACUCUGUAUUAUAUAUAUUCGUUGUUCCUCUUUAGUCGUAAACAAACUUCAAAUGGUAUUUUCUACUGGAAAACCAUUUGAAAAUGAUGAGUCACCGAAGUCUAAAAUAAGGAAGUGUGGAUGGCGUGUGGUGUGUAAAGAAGAUGCUGAAACAUGGAAUGAGUGCUGUAGUAGCAUCAAUGAUAGAAUCAAAGUUAGCCCAAAUGCCAAGCCACCUAACAAAGUGCAUAAAAUAAGAACAAAUGCUUCAAGAGACGUCAAAAGAUACCAAAAAACCAGAGAUAAAGUUGAGAUUCAUUGUAACAACUUAAACAAUCCCAAUGAAGUUGAGAAUAAAGAAGGCCGUAGCUGUUGGGAGAGGAUUUCAAACUUUUGGCAUUCCAUUGAGCAUCUCUUUCAGCCUGGGUGCUAAGGUUGUGUACAUGCGGGAACUGGGAAUUGUCCAAGACAUUCAAGAAGCAAGACCUAGAUACCGGCUAAGAGCUUAUCUAGUUUCCUCUACUCUCCCAUCCUGAAAUUGACAUGAGAGUAGCUAAUAAACUCGUUCAUUUGCAUAAUUAAGAACCUUUUGUAUGAAUUUGAGCUCGUCUCUUACUUUUUUUUUUUUUUUGUCCCCUUAGCGAUUUAUAAGGUACAUGCUUAGUCAGUUCUUUGCUUCAAGCCUUGUUUGGCCGUCACAACCAAUGAAAUUGACUUGAUGUUCUAUUGAAUAUGAAAAAGGGAAUGUGAAAUUAGAUUUUGAAUUGUA